UCGCGGCCUAUCAGCUUGUUGGUGAGGUAAUGGCUCACCAAGGCGACGACGGGUAGCCGGCCUGAGAGGGUGACCGGCCACACUGGGACUGAGACACGGCCCAGACUCCUACGGGAGGCAGCAGUGGGGAAUAUUGCACAAUGGGCGCAAGCCUGAUGCAGCGACGCCGCGUGAGGGAUGACGGCCUUCGGGUUGUAAACCUCUUUCAGUAGGGAAGAAGCGAAAGUGACGGUACCUGCAGAAGAAGCGCCGGCUAACUACGUGCCAGCAGCCGCGGUAAUACGUAGGGCGCAAGCGUUAUCCGGAAUUAUUGGGCGUAAAGAGCUCGUAGGCGGUUUGUCGCGUCUGCCGUGAAAGUCCGGGGCUCAACUCCGGAUCUGCGGUGGGUACGGGCAGACUAGAGUGAUGUAGGGGAGACUGGAAUUCCUGGUGUAGCGGUGAAAUGCGCAGAUAUCAGGAGGAACACCGAUGGCGAAGGCAGGUCUCUGGGCAUUAACUGACGCUGAGGAGCGAAAGCAUGGGGAGCGAACAGGAUUAGAUACCCUGGUAGUCCAUGCCGUAAACGUUGGGCACUAGGUGUGGGGGACAUUCCACGUUUUCCGCGCCGUAGCUAACGCAUUAAGUGCCCCGCCUGGGGAGUACGGCCGCAAGGCUAAAACUCAAAGGAAUUGACGGGGGCCCGCACAAGCGGCGGAGCAUGCGGAUUAAUUCGAUGCAACGCGAAGAACCUUACCAAGGCUUGACAUGAACCGGAAAGACCUGGAAACAGGUGCCCCGCUUGCGGUCGGUUUACAGGUGGUGCAUGGUUGUCGUCAGCUCGUGUCGUGAGAUGUUGGGUUAAGUCCCGCAACGAGCGCAACCCUCGUUCUAUGUUGCCAGCACGUGAUGGUGGGGACUCAUAGGAGACUGCCGGGGCAACUCGGAGGAAGGUGGGGACGACGUCAAAUCAUCAUGCCCCUUAUGUCUUGGGCUUCACGCAUGCUACAAUGGCCGGUACAAAGGGUUGCGAUACUGUGAGGUGGAGCUAAUCCCAAAAAGCCGGUCUCAGUUCGGAUUGGGGUCUGCAACUCGACCCCAUGAAGUCGGAGUCGCUAGUAAUCGCAGAUCGGCAACGCUGCGGUGAAUACGUUCCCGGGCCUUGUACACACCGCCCGUCAAGUCACGAAAGUUGGUAACACCCGAAGCCGGUGGCCUAACCCCUUGUGGGAGGGAGCUGUCGAAGGUGGGGCUGGA
rnacentral:rRNA from 1 species